CCUUGAUGAAGGUGAGCAGAUGUCCCCUCGUGUGGAUCUGCAGCUCCAGCCCUGUGGGCACUGGUUGCCAUGAUGGAGGGGGCAGGAGGGGACAACGGCAUGGAGCUGCCAUCAGACAGAGCUCCGUGGGAGUGCGGAUGCCGUGAUGGCCGCUCCUCUUCUCCUUUCCCGCAGGAUGCCCAGCAAAUACGGGAAGAAAGAACGACUGCCACGAAAGAUGAGCUGGAUCAGGAGAAGCAGCUCAUUGCCCAGCUGGAACAGCAGCUGCAGGCUGGGAGAAAGGAGAUCAAGGUGCUGCGCCAGGAAAAAGAGCGCCUGCAACAGGAGCGGGAGGAGCUGGAGCUGAAGAGAGCCUGGCAGCAGCAUCAACUGCAGCUGGAGGCAGCCCAUGUGCCUGGGGCUGUGCUGCCGGAGCUGGUGGAGGCAGAGCUGGU
ensembl:lncRNA